AUGAACGCUAGCUACAGGCUUAACACAUGCAAGUCGAGGGGAAACGACAUCGAAAGCUUGCUUUUGAUGGGCGUCGACCGGCGCACGGGUGAGUAACGCGUAUCCAACCUGCCCACCACUUGGGGAUAACCUUGCGAAAGUAAGACUAAUACCCAAUGAUAUCUCUAGAAGACAUCUGAAAGAGAUUAAAGAUUUAUCGGUGAUGGAUGGGGAUGCGUCUGAUUAGCUUGUUGGCGGGGUAACGGCCCACCAAGGCAACGAUCAGUAGGGGUUCUGAGAGGAAGGUCCCCCACAUUGGAACUGAGACACGGUCCAAACUCCUACGGGAGGCAGCAGUGAGGAAUAUUGGUCAAUGGACGAGAGUCUGAACCAGCCAAGUAGCGUGCAGGAAGACGGCCCUAUGGGUUGUAAACUGCUUUUAUAAGGGAAUAAAGUGAGUCUCGUGAGACUUUUUGCAUGUACCUUAUGAAUAAGGACCGGCUAAUUCCGUGCCAGCAGCCGCGGUAAUACGGAAGGUCCGGGCGUUAUCCGGAUUUAUUGGGUUUAAAGGGAGCGUAGGCCGGAGAUUAAGCGUGUUGUGAAAUGUAGAUGCUCAACAUCUGAACUGCAGCGCGAACUGGUUUCCUUGAGUACGCACAAAGUGGGCGGAAUUCGUGGGGGAGCGGUGAAAUGCUUAGAUAUCACGAAGAACUCCGAUUGCGAAGGCAGCUCACUGGAGCGCAACUGACGCUGAAGCUCGAAAGUGCGGGUAUCGAACAGGAUUAGAUACCCUGGUAGUCCGCACGGUAAACGAUGGAUGCCCGCUGUUGGUCUGAAUAGGUCAGCGGCCAAGCGAAAGCAUUAAGCAUCCCACCUGGGGAGUACGCCGGCAACGGUGAAACUCAAAGGAAUUGACGGGGGCCCGCACAAGCGGAGGAACAUGUGGUUUAAUUCGAUGAUACGCGAGGAACCUUACCCGGGCUUGAAUUGCAGAGGAAGGAUUUGGAGACAAUGACGCCCUUCGGGGC
rnacentral:rRNA from 1 species